GGUGGCGACCCUUGCGACUGUGAGUCGUGAACCUGGUCAGGCCUUAACUGGAGCAGCCAUAAGCGGUGUAACUUUGUGUGAGGGUUGCCGCCACC
rfam:Rhodopirellula baltica SH 1 complete genome